UUUAUUUUGUAAUUUGACCUCUCAAUCUCUUUCUUGCUCUUAGGCUGACAAGCACAUUUUCAAUGCUAGAUCAACCGAUAAUUGAGUAAUACAAUCUUCUUCAGUUUAUCUAACAGUUGAUAGUACUGAAGACAACGGUGAAUUAUCUGUUUCCAAGCUUGAUGAUGAAGAUCAAAAUAAAAGAGAUAAGGAGUCACCAAAGUGUAUCUUCAAAGAUGAGGAUGAUGCGAAAAAUGAUGAACACGGGUUGCGUUGCGAAGGAACUGAUGAGCAAGAGAAAAUCGCGCAUAAUAAGUUUCAUGAUCAGCAGCAUGGCAAUAUUAGCGAAAAAAAUUCAUCAAACAACAGUUGCAACACAAUUCAUCAUUAGAGUUUGUUCUGAAUGCAACACAACCAAAACCCCUCUUUGGAGGAGUGAUCCUCAAGGUCCCAAGUCACUAUGCAAUUCAUGUGGAAUUCGACAGAAGGCAAGACCGGCCAUGGCAGCUGCAAAUAAUGGAAUGGUCCUUGCCCCAGACGAUUCAACAACAAGGACUAAGAUGCAAAACAAGGAAAAGAAAACGCGUACAAGCUACAAUACAUGGCACAGUAUAAGAAACCAUUCAAACUCCCCAGUUCUUCUCAAAGCGGGGAGAAGAUUUCUUUUGAGGAUUUUGCCUUGAGUUUGAGUAAGAAUUCAUCUUUUCGGCGAACAUUUCCAAAGGAUGAAGAAGAAGCCACGGUCCUACUAAUGGCUUUAUCUUGUGGCCUCAUUCUUAGUUAAAUUUCUCAAUUUUUGAUUUUUUUUUUUUUCUUCUACUUUUUGUCUUUGUAUUUUGUUUUUGAUGUUGGGGAAGUAGAGGGAGAGAGGGUUGAGAUCACAAUUAUGAGAUCUUCAAGGAUGUUGCAAACCAAAUGUGUUGCUUCAUUCUACAUAGCCAAUAAUCUUGAGAUCAAUAAAUAAGAUACUAAAUUAUUUGAGGUUCU